AUGGUGAAUUACAGAAACAGAGUUCAGAACACAACUGUCAGAAAGGUACUUGUACAAGUAUACCUGUUAUCUGUACUUGCAGCUCCGCCCGAUGAAGCCCUGCCACCACCAGCUAAUGCAGCCCAGGACGGCUGGAAGAAGUCCAUCGGGCAGAACUGCCGCACCAGCAGUAGGAGAGCUGCCCAUCUCCCUGGACCGCUCCAGGAAGCAGCUGGAAGAACUCUGCCGGGCAGCACUCGUCCUCCUCCUCCUCGUCCAUGGGGGGAAGCCCCAGCAAUGAGCUGUUGUCGGGAGCGGAGUCUGGGGAAGGGAUCUGGCGAAGAGUACCGAGCUCACCGCGGCAACAGGCACGCUUGUCGCCGCCCUCAUCCCCAUGCCCUCUAG
rnacentral:rRNA from 1 species